rnacentral:tRNA from 1 species
UCCUCGGUGGCUCAGAUGGAUAGAGCGUCUGCCAUGUAAGCAGGAGAUCCUGGGUUCGAGUCCCAGUCGGGGCG